CGAUACGACCGUACCGCAAACCGACACUGGUGCGCGAGAUGAGUAUUCUAAGGCGCUUGAGAGAACUCAGGAGAAGGAACUCGGCAAAUUGACACCGUAACUUCGGAAGAAGGUGUGCCCUAUUAGUGUGUAGUGAACAACGAAGCAUGAAUGGGUUGCAAAAAAUCGGUGGCUGCGACUGUUUAUUAAAAACACAGCACUCUGCAAACACGAAAGUGGACGUAUAGGGUGUGACGCCUGCCCGGUGCUGGAAGAUUAAAUGAUGGGGUGCAAGCUCUUGAUUGAAGUCCCAGUAAACGGCGGCCGUAACUAUAACGGUCCUAAGGUAGCGAAAUUCCUUGUCGGGUAAGUUCCGACCUGCACGAAUGGCGUAACGAUGGCCACACUGUCUCCUCCUGAGACUCAGCGAAGUUGAAAUGUUUGUGAUGAUGCAAUCUCCCCGCGGAAAGACGGAAAGACCCCAUGAACCUUUACUGUAGCUUUGUAUUGGACUUUGAACAGAUCUGUGUAGGAUAGGUGGGAGGCUUUGAAGCAGGGUCGCUAGAUCUUGUGGAGCCAACGUUGAAAUACCACCCUGGUGUGUUUGAGGUUCUAACCUAGGUCCAUUAUCUGGAUCGGGGACAGUGCAUGGUAGGCAGUUUGACUGGGGCGGUCUCCUCCCAAAGCGUAACGGAGGAGUUCGAAGGUACGCUAGUUACGGUCGGACAUCGUGACGAUAGUGCAAUGGCAUAAGCGUGCUUAACUGCGAGACUGACAAGUCGAGCAGAUGCGAAAGCAGGACAUAGUGAUCCGGUGGUUCUGUAUGGAAGGGCCAUCGCUCAACGGAUAAAAGGUACUCUGGGGAUAACAGGCUGAUACCGCCCAAGAGUUCAUAUCGACGGCGGUGUUUGGCACCUCGAUGUCGGCUCAUCUCAUCCUGGGGCUGUAGCCGGUCCCAAGGGUAUGGCUGUUCGCCAUUUAAAGAGGUACGUGAGCUGGGUUUAAAACGUCGUGAGACAGUUUGGUCCCUAUCUUCCGUGGGCGCUGCAGAUUUGAGGAAGCCUGCUCCUAGUACGAGAGGACCGGAGUGGACACACCUCUGGUGUAUCGGUUGUCACGCCAGUGGCAUUGCCGAGUAGCUAAGUGUGGAAGAGAUAACCGCUGAAAGCAUCUAAGCGGGAAACUCGUUUCAAGAUGAGAUCUGCCGGGGCCUUGAGCCCCCUAAAGAGUCGUUCAAGACCAGGACGUUGAUAGGUCAGGUGUGGAAGCGG
rnacentral:rRNA from 1 species